AGUGAACGCUGGCGGCAGGCUUAACACAUGCAAGUCGAGCGGGCCCUUCGGGGUCAGCGGCGGACGGGUGAGUAACGCGUGGGAACGUGCCUUCUGGUCUGGAAUAACCCUGGGAAACUAGGGCUAAUACCGGAUACGCCCUUUUGGGGAAAGGUUUACUGCCGGAAGAUCGGCCCGCGUCUGAUUAGCUAGUUGGUGGGGUAACGGCCUACCAAGGCGACGAUCAGUAGCUGGUCUGAGAGGAUGAUCAGCCACACUGGGACUGAGACACGGCCCAGACUCCUACGGGAGGCAGCAGUGGGGAAUAUUGGACAAUGGGCGCAAGCCUGAUCCAGCCAUGCCGCGUGAGUGAUGAAGGCCUUAGGGUUGUAAAGCUCUUUUAUCCGGGACGAUAAUGACGGUACCGGAGGAAUAAGCCCCGGCUAACUUCGUG
rnacentral:rRNA from 1 species